rnacentral:rRNA from 1 species
UCCUACGGGAGGCAGCAGUGGGGAAUAUUGGACAAUGGGGGAAACCCUGAUCCAGCCAUGCCGCGUGUGUGAAGAAGGCCUUUUGGUUGUAAAGCACUUUAAKCAGUGAAGAARACUCUUCGGUUARUACCCGGARACSAUGACAUUASCUGCAGAAUAAGCACCGGCUAACUCUGUGCCWGCAGCCGCKGUAAUACAGAGGGUGCAAGCGUUAAUCGGAAUUACUGGGCGUAAAGCGAGCGUARGUGGCUUGAUAAGUCAGAUGUGAAAUCCCCGGGCUUAACCUGGGAACUGCAUCUGAAACUGUUAGGCUASAGUAGGUGAGAGGGAAGUASAAUUUCAKGUGUAGCGGUGAAAUGCGUAGAGAUCUGAAGGAAUMCCGAUGGCGAAGGCARCUUCCUGGCAUCAUACUGACACUGAGGCUCGAAAGCGUGGGUAGCAAACAGGAUUAGAUWCCCUGGUAGUCCACGCCGUAAACGAUGUMUACUAGYCGYUGGGUCCCUUGAGGACUUASUGACGCRGCUAACGCAAUAAGUAGUCCGCCUGGGAGUACGCCGCAAG